rnacentral:rRNA from 1 species
UACGAAGGGGGCUAGCGUUGUUCGGAAUUACUGGGCGUAAAGGGCGCGUAGGCGGUGUGUCAAGUCGGGUGUGAAAGCCCCGGGCUCAACCUGGGAAUUGCAUUCGAGACUGAAUAGCUAGGGUACGGUAGAGGGAAGUGGAAUUUCCGGUGUAGCGGUGAAAUGCGUAGAUAUCGGAAGGAACAUCAGUGGCGAAAGCGACUUCCUGGACCAGUACCGACGUUCAGGCACGAAAGCGUGGGGAGCAAACAGG